rnacentral:snRNA from 1 species
CAGCGACUCCUCCGUCACUGUC